rnacentral:hammerhead_ribozyme from 1 species
AGCUGGUUGACGAGUCCCAAAUAAAACGAAAUGCACAUCCUAGAU